rnacentral:tRNA from 1 species
GCCUGGAUGGCUCAGUCGGUUAAGCGUCUGACUUUGGCGCAGGUCAUGUUCUCAGGGUUCGUGAGUUCAAGCCCCACACUGGGCU